GUUGCCUAGGACCCCGCCUGAACCCCUAGCGGUGGUCACGGUGCUGCCUGAUCAAAAAUGGCACAUUAACCUUACAACAGUAGGGAUGGAACGAUAGACGGUAAUAAUGAUGACGGUGGCAAAAAUCUCAACGUAUUUCUUCGACAACUGGAAGAAAGAGAAGACAUAUGGAGACAUUUUACCUUUGCAAUGAUGAACAACAAGAUACGUUGUAAACCCUGUGGCUCGAUUUUCUCCGGUAAAAAUACAACCAACUUGAAGAACUUUCUGCAGGCUAGUCAUCAGGACAUCUACGCAACAAACAAAUCUCCCUGAGCAGCAGGGGUGGACCUCCAGGAUGGAGCAGGAUAAACCACAGCACCCUCACAUUAAAACGGAAGAGGAAGAACCACAUCUUACCCACAUUAAAGAGGAAGUUGAUGAGCUACAGCCCCCACACAUUAAAGAUGAAGAGGAGGAACACAGCAUCAGUCAGAAUGGAGACCAUCUUAAAGGACAAGAGGAGGUUGAUGACACCAAGAUGAUAUUGACUGGUGUCAUUGUGAAGAGUGAAGAUGAUGAGGUCAAAAGUGAAAGUGAGAAGAAGAGAGAAGUGGGGUCUCCAAGCAGCAGCUCAACUCAACAAAUGACAACAGAAGCUGAUGGAGACCACUGUGGAGGAUCACAGGCAGACAAGCUCUUAGCUCCACUAUCAGAUCCUGACACUGAUGAUGAAGACUCUGAAGCUGAUACAACAUGUCACACUGACAACACACACUUUGAAUGUUCUCACUGUGGCAAAACUUUUAAUCACCGUUGUAAUCUGAGAACACACAUGAGAACACACACUGGUGAAAAACCUUUUUCCUGUUUAAGAUGUGGUAAAUGUUUUACACAAAAUCAUCAUUUGAAAAGACACACAAGAACGCACACUGGAGAAAAACCUUUUAUCUGUUCACUCUGUGGUAGAGGUUUUGUACAAAAUAUUGAUUUGAAGAGACACAUGAUAACACACUCUGGAGAAAAACCUGUUAUCUGCUCAAUCUGUGGUAAAGGUUUCGCACGAAAUAGUUAUUUGAAAAGACACAAGACAAUACACACUAGAGAAAAACUUUUUAGCUGUUCAAUCUGUGGGAAAGGUUUCACACAAACUAGUCAUUUGAAAGCACACAUGACAAGACACACAGGUAAAAAAAAUAUUUUCCUGUUCAAUCUUUGCUAAAGGUGAAAUUUCACAUGAGAACACACUGGUGAGGAAGUGUGAGUUGCAGUGUGUGUGUGAUGAAAGAUUCUCUCAAAAGUACAAUUGUAAGAAACUGCAUGAAUGAAGCUGCAUGUUUUUCAGUAAACUGUCAAGACUUUGUUAACUUUGACUUUAUGUGGGCUCUGUACCGAGGAUGUCGUUGUGGCUUGUACAGCCCUUUGAGACACUUGUGAUUUAGGGCUAUAUAAAUAAACAUUGAUUGAUUGACUUUCGAUCAACAUCACCACAUACAGUGCAUCAGGUUAAGUAUUCACAGCGCUUUAAUUUUUUCAGAUUUUAUGUUUCAGCCUUAUCCCAAAAUGGAGUAUUGAGCAAAGGCUGUGAAUACUUAUGUACUUGUGAUCUUUGUAUGUUUUUAGUAUGUGCAUUAGUACACAACAUUGUGUACAUUUAUUUUAAAAAACACAAUUCAAUUGAUUGAAAAGGUCUACAAUGCUGACUGAAGCAUCCGCUUGCCCUUACAUUACCUUUUUAUAUUUGUUAAAAAAGAUAUCAACCGAAUAAAACAUAUCCAUCCAAUUUCUA